rnacentral:rRNA from 1 species
AUACAGAGGUUGCGAGCGUUAAUCGGAAUUACUGGGCGUAAAGCGCGCGUAGGCGGCUACUUAAGUCAGAUGUGAAAUCCCCGGGCUCAACCUGGGAACUGCAUCUGAUACUGGGUAGCUAGAGUUUUGGAGAGGGAAGUAGAAUUUCAGGUGUAGCGGUGAAAUGCAUAGAGAUCUGAAGGAAUACCAGUGGCGAAGGCGACUUCCUGGCCAAAAACUGACGCUGAGGUGCGAAAGCGUGGGUAGCAAACGGGAUUAGAAACCCUUGUAGUCC